UAGGGAAUCUUGCGCAAUGGGCGAAAGCCUGACGCAGCGACGCCGCGUGAGGGAAGAAGGCCUUCGGGUCGUAAACCUCUGUCCUUGGGGACGAUGAUGACGGUACCCAAGGAGGAAGCCCCGGCUAACUACGUGCCAGCAGCCGCGGUAAUACGUAGGGGGCGAGCGUUGUCCGGAAUCACUGGGCGUAAAGGGUGCGUAGGCGGCUUGGCAAGUCCUGUGUGAAGGGUCGCGGCUCAACCGCGGUGGGUCAUGGGAAACUGCCAAGCUCGAGUGCCGGAGAGGAUAGCGGAAUUCCCGGUGUAGCGGUGAAAUGCGUAGAGAUCGGGAGGAACACCAGUGGCGAAGGCGGCUAUCUGGAAGGUCACUGACGCUGAGGCACGACAGCUGGGGGAGCAAACAGGAUUAGAUACCC
rnacentral:rRNA from 1 species